UACGUAGGGUGCAAGCGUUGUCCGGAAUUAUUGGGCGUAAAGAGCUUGUAGGCGGUUUGUCGCGUCUGCUGUGAAAUUUCGGGGCUCAACCCCGAACUUGCAGUGGGUACGGGCAGACUAGAGUGUGGUAGGGGAGACUGGAAUUCCUGGUGUAGCGGUGAAAUGCGCAGAUAUCAGGAGGAACACCGGUGGCGAAGGCGGGUCUCUGGGCCGAUACUGACGCUGAGGAGCGAAAGCAUGGGUAGCGAACAGG
rnacentral:rRNA from 1 species